UACGUAGGGUGCGAGCGUUGUCCGGAUUUAUUGGGCGUAAAGAGCUUGUAGGCGGCUCGUCGCGUCGGGUGUGAAAACUUGCGGCUCAACCGCAAGCCUGCACCCGAUACGGGCGGGCUAGAGUUCGGCAGGGGAGACUGGAAUUCCUGGUGUAGCGGUGGAAUGCGCAGAUAUCAGGAGGAACACCGGUGGCGAAGGCGGGUCUCUGGGCCGAUACUGACGCUGAGAAGCGAAAGCGUGGGGAGCGAACAGG
rnacentral:rRNA from 1 species